rnacentral:misc_RNA from 1 species
GAUGAAGAACGCAGCGAAAUGCGAUAAGUAAUGUGAAUUGCAGAAUUCAGUGAAUCAUCGAAUCUUUGAACGCACAUUGCGCCCGCCAGUAUUCUGGCGGGCAUGCCUGUUCGAGCGACAUUUCAACCAUCAAGCCCCAGGCUUGUGUUGGGGACCUGCGGCUGCCGCAGGCCCUGAAAACCAGUGGCGGGCUCGCUGUCACACCGGGCGUAGUAGAUUUUAUCUCGCUCAGGGCGUGCUGCGGGUUCCGGCCGUUAAAAAGCCUUUUUUACCCAAGGUUGACCUCGGAUCAGGUAGGAAGACCCGCUGAACUUAAGCAUAUCAAUAAGCGGAGGA